rnacentral:rRNA from 1 species
UACAGAGACUGCAAGCGUUAUUCGGAUUCACUGGGCGUAAAGGGUGCGCAGGCGGUUGGGUGUGUCAGAUGUGAAAUCCCGAGGCUUAACCUCGGAACUGCGUCUGAAACUACUCGACUAGAGUACUGGAGAGGGAAACGGAAUUCACGGUGUAGCAGUGAAAUGCGUAGAUAUCGUGAGGAACACCAGAGGCGAAGGCGGUUUCCUGGACAGUUACUGACGCUCAGGCACGAAAGCAUGGGGAGCAAAGGG